AACGAACGCUGGCGGCAGGCUUAACACAUGCAAGUCGAACGCAUCGCAAGAUGAGUGGCAGACGGGUGAGUAACGCGUGGGAACAUACCCUUUUCUACGGAAUAGCUCUGGGAAACUGGAAUUAAUACCGUAUACGCCCUACGGGAGAAAGAUUUAUCGGGGAAGGAUUGGCCCGCGUUGGAUUAGCUAGUUGGUGGGGUAAAGGCCUACCAAGGCGACGAUUCAUAGCUGGUCUGAGAGGAUGAUCAGCCACAUUGGGACUGAGACACGGCCCAAACUCCUACGGGAGGCAGCAGUGGGGGAUAUUGGACAAUGGGCGCAAGCCUGAUCCAGCCAUGCCGCGUGAGUGAUGAAGGCCUUAGGGUUGUAAAGCUCUUUCACCGAUGAAGAUAAUGACGGUAGUCGGAGAAGAAGCCCCGGCUAACUUCGUGCCAGCCGCCGCCGUAAAAC
rnacentral:rRNA from 1 species